GAUGAACGCUAGCGGCAGGCCUAAUACAUGCAAGUCGAACGGUAACAUGAGUAGCAAUACUUGAUGACGAGUGGCGCACGGGUGCGUAACGCGUAUGCAAUCUACCUUUAACCGGUGAAUAGCCCGAAGAAAUUCGGAUUAAUACACCAUAGUAUGUUUGAGUGGCAUCACUUAAACAUUAAAGUUCCGACAGUUAGAGAUGAGCAUGCGUGACAUUAGCUAGUUGGUAAGGUGACGGCUUACCAAGGCAACGAUGUCUAGGGGAUCUGAGAGGAUUAACCCCCACACUGGUACUGAGACAGGGACCAGACUCCUACGGGAGGCAGCAGUAAGGAAUAUUGGACAAUUGUGGCAACACUGAUCCAGCCAUGCCGCGUGAAGGAUGAAGGCCCUAUGGGUUGUAAACUUCUUUUGUACGGGAAAAAACCUUCUUACGUGUAAGAAGCUGAUUGUACUGUAAGAAUAAGGAUCGGCUAACUCCGUGCCAGCCGCCGCAGUAAUAC
rnacentral:rRNA from 1 species